UAAAAGGAAGACUCAAAACACACACUGAUGUGUGUGUCUUGGUCGACGAAAACGAGAGCAACAGGAGGGAAAAGUUCCUCAAACCCUAAAUCAGCAAUUCAUCAAAAUCAGAAAGGAAAUCGGGCUUAAAACUGAUGCAUGAACUGAAAAUAAUGAUCAUCUAAGCAAAAGGAUCAUAAGGUAACUCGUGUGAAGCUUCAGGAAGUCAAGCCGGAGCGAACGCACGUUUGAAGGAAAAAGACUCGGACAACGAGUCAUAACCAAAAGAUAGUGAAUUGGUGAAAAGAAUUUGGAAUAGUUAAGUUCAACUAAGUUAUACGGUUGAACGGAUCGAGUAAGUGUGAAUGCAUACCCGAUAUCGGAUGCACAACACACAAGGAAAGUAACACGAGUAACAGGGUACAUUCAUUAAAAUGGCAUUCAUGCGAAAAGAUAUAGUUUCAUAAAUUUGUUUGCCCAAAUAUGCAAACGGGUCAAACAAUUUUAUGAAUAAAUCUUAAGCCGAAAGCAUUAAGUAUAAGAAUUCAUAAUCCCGGAUAGCGGAUUUUGAGUCUAUAAUGUGGGUGAUUAAAUUACGAUCACGUAGAAACAAACUUGGGGUAAAACGGAUAAGUAUAUAAAGAGUUAUGCAAAAUUGUGUGUCGGAUGGCAAAAUUGGAAAACAGCAAACAACUGAGCAGAACCGUAACCUACGGCUAAAGGCCGUAGGCUACGGCAACGAUGGAAAAUCUAGAAUAGUGAAACCAUAACCAACGGUUGGUUGAGGACCGUAGGUUACGGUAGAGGAUUGCUGUGAAAAAAAUGUUUCGGGUGCCGUAGGCUACGGUAUACUCACCAUAGCCUACGCCGGGUUCUUUGAAGCUAUUUUGUUUCAUGUUUUGAUGGUCAUGAAUAUUAAGUUUACCUUUUAAUCAUCUUAUAUCUAAUUUAUGAGAUGAUUUUUGAUGUUUAGGUGAUAACCAUGAUGAUAUGGAUGAAGAUCAAGCAUUUUGUACGAAUCGGACACGAUCGAUGAUUUAAGUUCCGCUUUUGUAUAGUUGUUUUACAAAACAAACUAUGUUAAUAUAAUGAAAUGUUCGGAUAUCUUAUGAAGUUUUAUGAAAUACUAAGUUUUGUAAAGUCA